AGCGUACACGGUGGAUGCCCUGGCAGUCAGAGGCGAUGAAGGACGUGCUAAUCUGCGAUAAGCGUCGGUAAGGUGAUAUGAACCGUUAUAACCGGCGAUUUCCGAAUGGGGAAACCCAGUGUGUUUCGACACACUAUCAUUAACUGAAUCCAUAGGUUAAUGAGGCGAACCGGGGGAACUGAAACAUCUAAGUACCCCGAGGAAAAGAAAUCAACCGAGAUUCCCCCAGUAGCGGCGAGCGAACGGGGAGGAGCCCAGAGCCUGAAUCAGUGUGUGUGUUAGUGGAAGCGUCUGGAAAGGCGCGCGAUACAGGGUGACAGCCCCGUACACAAAAAUGCACAUGCUGUGAGCUCGAUGAGUAGGGCGGGACACGUGGUAUCCUGUCUGAAUAUGGGGGGACCAUCCUCCAAGGCUAAAUACUCCUGACUGACCGAUAGUGAACCAGUACCGUGAGGGAAAGGCGAAAAGAACCCCGGCGAGGGGAGUGAAAAAGAACCUGAAACCGUGUACGUACAAGCAGUGGGAGCACGCUUAGGCGUGUGACUGCGUACCUUUUGUAUAAUGGGUCAGCGACUUAUAUUCUGUAGCAAGGUUAACCGAAUAGGGGAGCCGAAGGGAAACCGAGUCUUAACUGGGCGUUAAGUUGCAGGGUAUAGACCCGAAACCCGGUGAUCUAGCCAUGGGCAGGUUGAAGGUUGGGUAACACUAACUGGAGGACCGAACCGACUAAUGUUGAAAAAUUAGCGGAUGACUUGUGGCUGGGGGUGAAAGGCCAAUCAAACCGGGAGAUAGCUGGUUCUCCCCGAAAGCUAUUUAGGUAGCGCCUCGUGAACUCAUCUCCGGGGGUAGAGCACUGUUUCGGCAAGGGGGUCAUCCCGACUUACCAACCCGAUGCAAACUGCGAAUACCGGAGAAUGUUAUCACGGGAGACACACGGCGGGUGCUAACGUCCGUCGUGAAGAGGGAAACAACCCAGACCGCCAGCUAAGGUCCCAAAGUCAUGGUUAAGUGGGAAACGAUGUGGGAAGGCCCAGACAGCCAGGAUGUUGGCUUAGAAGCAGCCAUCAUUUAAAGAAAGCGUAAUAGCUCACUGGUCGAGUCGGCCUGCGCGGAAGAUGUAACGGGGCUAAACCAUGCACCGAAGCUGCGGCAGCGACGCUUAUGCGUUGUUGGGUAGGGGAGCGUUCUGUAAGCCUGUGAAGGUGUGCUGUGAGGCAUGCUGGAGGUAUCAGAAGUGCGAAUGCUGACAUAAGUAACGAUAAAGCGGGUGAAAAGCCCGCUCGCCGGAAGACCAAGGGUUCCUGUCCAACGUUAAUCGGGGCAGGGUGAGUCGACCCCUAAGGCGAGGCCGAAAGGCGUAGUCGAUGGGAAACAGGUUAAUAUUCCUGUACUUGGUGUUACUGCGAAGGGGGGACGGAGAAGGCUAUGUUGGCCGGGCGACGGUUGUCCCGGUUUAAGCGUGUAGGCUGGUUUUCCAGGCAAAUCCGGAAAAUCAAGGCUGAGGCGUGAUGACGAGGCACUACGGUGCUGAAGCAACAAAUGCCCUGCUUCCAGGAAAAGCCUCUAAGCAUCAGGUAACAUCAAAUCGUACCCCAAACCGACACAGGUGGUCAGGUAGAGAAUACCAAGGCGCUUGAGAGAACUCGGGUGAAGGAACUAGGCAAAAUGGUGCCGUAACUUCGGGAGAAGGCACGCUGAUAUGUAGGUGAAGUCCCUUGCGGAUGGAGCUGAAAUCAGUCGAAGAUACCAGCUGGCUGCAACUGUUUAUUAAAAACACAGCACUGUGCAAACACGAAAGUGGACGUAUACGGUGUGACGCCUGCCCGGUGCCGGAAGGUUAAUUGAUGGGGUCAGCGCAAGCGAAGCUCUUGAUCGAAGCCCCGGUAAACGGCGGCCGUAACUAUAACGGUCCUAAGGUAGCGAAAUUCCUUGUCGGGUAAGUUCCGACCUGCACGAAUGGCGUAAUGAUGGCCAGGCUGUCUCCACCCGAGACUCAGUGAAAUUGAACUCGCUGUGAAGAUGCAGUGUACCCGCGGCAAGACGGAAAGACCCCGUGAACCUUUACUAUAGCUUGACACUGAACAUUGAGCCUUGAUGUGUAGGAUAGGUGGGAGGCUUUGAAGUGUGGACGCCAGUCUGCAUGGAGCCGACCUUGAAAUACCACCCUUUAAUGUUUGAUGUUCUAACGUUGACCCGUAAUCCGGGUUGCGGACAGUGUCUGGUGGGUAGUUUGACUGGGGCGGUCUCCUCCUAAAGAGUAACGGAGGAGCACGAAGGUUGGCUAAUCCUGGUCGGACAUCAGGAGGUUAGUGCAAUGGCAUAAGCCAGCUUGACUGCGAGCGUGACGGCGCGAGCAGGUGCGAAAGCAGGUCAUAGUGAUCCGGUGGUUCUGAAUGGAAGGGCCAUCGCUCAACGGAUAAAAGGUACUCCGGGGAUAACAGGCUGAUACCGCCCAAGAGUUCAUAUCGACGGCGGUGUUUGGCACCUCGAUGUCGGCUCAUCACAUCCUGGGGCUGAAGUAGGUCCCAAGGGUAUGGCUGUUCGCCAUUUAAAGUGGUACGCGAGCUGGGUUUAGAACGUCGUGAGACAGUUCGGUCCCUAUCUGCCGUGGGCGCUGGAGAACUGAGGGGGGCUGCUCCUAGUACGAGAGGACCGGAGUGGACGCAUCACUGGUGUUCGGGUUGUCAUGCCAAUGGCACUGCCCGGUAGCUAAAUGCGGAAGAGAUAAGUGCUGAAAGCAUCUAAGCACGAAACUUGCCCCGAGAUGAGUUCUCCCUGACUCCUUGA
rnacentral:rRNA from 1 species